CCUACGGGUGGCAGCAGUGGGGAAUAUUGGACAAUGGGCGAAAGCCUGAUCCAGCCAUGCCGCGUGUGUGAAGAAGGCCUUCGGGUUGUAAAGCACUUUCAGUGGGGAAGAAAGCCUUGGGGCUAAUACCCUCGAGGAAGGACAUCACCCACAGAAGAAGCACCGGCUAACUCCGUGCCAGCAGCCGCGGUAAUACGGAGGGUGCGAGCGUUAAUCGGAAUUACUGGGCGUAAAGCGCGCGUAGGCGGUCUGAUAAGCCGGUUGUGAAAGCCCCGGGCUCAACCUGGGAACGGCAUCCGGAACUGUCAGGCUAGAGUGCAGGAGAGGAAGGUAGAAUUCCCGGUGUAGCGGUGAAAUGCGUAGAGAUCGGGAGGAAUACCAGUGGCGAAGGCGGCCUUCUGGACUGACACUGACGCUGAGGUGCGAAAGCGUGGGUAGCAAACAGGAUUAGGUACCCCUGUAGUC
rnacentral:rRNA from 1 species